GGGCUCGUAGCUCAGCUUGGAUAGAGCGGCACUCUCCUAAAGUGAAGGUCGUGGGUUCAAAUCCCACCGAGCCCG
rnacentral:tRNA from 1 species